rnacentral:lncRNA from 1 species
AAAAAAGAAGAAAUUAUGAUUUUCAAAAUUCAAAGUUCUCAAGUAAAAUUUUUCCUUUCUCUAUUGAAAAAAAGGGAGAUUUCAGGAGUACCAACAAGAGAUGAUAGGAGCAAGAACCAGAAUAAUUAAUACUGCUGUGUGAAUAGAGAAAGGAAUAAAUAGAGAGUUCCAACAAGAGAUGACAGGAGCAAGAACCAGAAUAAGUAAUAUUGCUGUGUGAAUAGAGAAAGGAAUAAAUAGAGAUAUGGAAGAGGUAGAAGUGACAAGAUUAACUGAUAUGAUUGGAAAAAGUAAUUUUGAUGUGUAGUAGAUGAGAAGCAUGAGAAGAUAUUAAUGCAUUUUGUCUGGAAAAGAUGUAGUUGGAUCUACAGAUUUGAAAAUUUUCUAUACAUAUUUUCAUUCAUUGGCAACUGAAAAGAUCAGCAAGAAAGAAGAUGUGGAGAUAGCCAAUUACGUGGGGAACAAUAGUGGAGAACACACAAUCUUAUUGGUAGAGCAUGAUGUUAUAGAGGGUGAAAUUAAAGAGGGAAAGGGAACAGUGCCUUGGAGGACAGAACCAUGCGUGUAGACACGGCCUGUAUGUAGAUUCUAGCAAAAGAGAAUCAGAUCCACUGAAAAAACACAGGAGAAGCCACAGGGGCCCAAUGGCACAAAUAUUGAGAGAGGAAAGCCCAUUUCAAAAUCUCCAGAGAGAUUAAAGAAGAACAGAGAAAGUCUCUAAAUUUAAGACAGAAGUCACCAUAGAUCAUUUGAAAAUUACACCUUCCUUCUGUCAGCAAUGACACAAUCAAAGAUUUCAGAGCAGCCUAAGUAAACCUUGAUGAAGUGAUUCAAAAUACAGUAACGAGGAUAUUCACUAAUACAAAAUUAAAGGAAAUGAAAACAAAAGGGUAAGAUUGCCAUUCUCUUAUUGUGUUGAAAACCAUAGCUUUAGCCUACAAAACAGAAAAUUAAACAUGGUUCCUCUACCCAGUAGACACACUGAGAUCAACAGAUACAAAAGGUUUUAUUUUCUGUCAGAUGUUGAACUAUUUAUUGAUGAAGAAUAUAUGGAUUUAUAUAUUUGUAUAUGUUUGUGCAUAUAU